GUCGUCCUCUUUGUACCUUUUUUUUUUCUUCUUUUUCUUCUUUUUCUUUUUCUUACCUUGGCUAUCACACUAUCUUUUUCAUAUUUCCUCUUCAUCUCUCGUUCCUCUUUUCUUUAUCACGAUUCCAUUCCCCUUUUCUUUCUUUUUUUUUUUUCAUUUCUCCUUAUUUCUAUUUCUCCUUAUUUCUAUCUUUUCUUCUUCUCUCUAUUCCUCUUCUUCUAACCCUAGCCAUUGUCAUCAUAAGUCGUCGCCAUCUAUGGCCUUUUCUGACCAAUUCGACCAUCAAAAUACUUCUCUCAUCCUCUUCUUCUCAAAAUUUGCCCUGUAUUUCCAAGAAAAUCUCUUUAAAGCCGAAAAAAAACAAUGCUUAAUCAUGGAGUUUUCUAAAUUAUAUUCUUCGCCUGUUGAUGAAAGGCAAAGGAGGUUUCUAGUGAGGUUGAAAGCGAGUUGAAGAGCCAAAGGAAGCAGUAGCAGUGUUGUUGCCAAUGCAACAACAAAGAAUCGAUUUUCUUGGAGCCUAGUAGAAGUUCUUCAAGUUACAGGUAAGUAGGUCGCGAAUGAUAGUGGCAAGGUAAAUGACUUGGUGAGGCUCACACUUGAAUAGAUAUUGGCGAACCUGGGAAAAUAGGCGAUGAGGUUUUAUUAUAUGGGUUUAGAAUUAUUACGAUUUAAUUUUGUUAAUGGAACAAAUUUUUAAUGGUUUAAGUUUAUUUUCAUUCUUCGAACCUUAAGUAAAACCGUUGUUAUUAAUCUCUUCUCAGCCUGAAUAAAAUUUGAUGUUUCUUUAA